UCCAAUCAUACGGAGAUGGUGGACUCUUAUUCUUCUGGAGAACUGUGGAGUUUUCUCUGAAAGUGCAGAAACCCUACAAGAAGCCCUUCCAAUUGGAUAACAGGCUACGCUUGUGAGGAGAUCCCAGUAAUCCCAGACAGAAGUUGUGAAAUGGCUCCAUUACAACAGACAUCUGCUCAGGGGGCCAGUGGAAG